rnacentral:rRNA from 1 species
UACGGAGGGGGCCAGCGUUGUUCGGAAUUAUUGGGCGUAAAGGGCGCGUAGGCGGCAGGAUAAGUCUGACGUGAAAUCCCUCGGCCUAACCGAGGAACUGCGUUUGAAACUGUCCAGCUCGAGUCCGGGAGAGGGUAGUGGAAUUCCCAGUGUAGCGGUGAAAUGCGUAGAUAUUGGGAGGAACACCGGUGGCGAAGGCGGGUCUCUGGGCCGAUACUGACGCUGAGGAGCGAAGGCGUGGGGAGCGAACAGG